rnacentral:tRNA from 1 species
GAAGAAUUAGCUCAGUCGGUUGAGCGUGGUGCUGAUAACACCAAGGUCACAGGAUCAAUCCCUGUUCG